CAUAGAUUUAGCCAUGAGUUCAUGUUACAGAAUGCAACCAUAUGUUGGCACUUAGGCUGAGGAAGCAAAACUCCCAUGGAAUGAACUGAUAAGACAAAGUGGGGAAGACAGAGAUGUACAGGACACUAUAAAUCCCUUUGGAUUCGUAUACUUCCAAAUCCAUCAAGCCUGAGAGGCCAAAUUUAAUGCAUUACUUCCAGACCUAGUGUAUUCAGCAUUUAAGUGGGAUAAAGGAAUAAGACAAAAGGAAAUAUCAUCAGUGACAUUGUACAAGCAAAGGACCUAUAGCCUGGCCAGGGGAGGUUUCUCAGAGUUCAGGAGAAUCUUGGUUCCUUAGAGCACCCUCCAAGGACAGAAAAAGUCUUUGAGCUGAAGACUCAAAGGGCAAAAGGGAGAAUAUGUGCUGCAUCUCUUCAGUCAUUACCAAGAUGUCUUUCAGCCAUGAAUAAAGUGUGAAG
rnacentral:lncRNA from 1 species